rnacentral:rRNA from 1 species
UCCGGGAUAACCCGGGAAACUGGGGAUAAUACCGGAUAGAUCAAACUUGCUGGAAGGCUGUUUGGUUGAAACUUCCGGGGCUUUUGGAUGGGUCUGCGGCUGAUUAGGUUGUUGCCGGUGUAACGUACCGUCAAGCCUGUAAUCAGUACGGGUUGUGGGAGCAAGAGCCCGGAGAUGGAUUCUGAGACACGAAUCCAGGCCCUACGGGGCGCAGCAGGCGCGAAAACUCUACAAUGCAGGCAACUGCGAUAGGGGAACAUCGAGUGAUCCUCAUAUUGGGGGUCUGUCCACCCGUCUAAAAAACGGGUGUUAGCAAGGGCCGGGCAAGACCGGUGCCAGCCGCCGCGGUAAUACCGGCGGCUCGAGUGGUGGCCGAUAUUAUUGAGUCUAAAGGGUCCGUAGCCGGCUUUGCAAGUCUCUCGGGAAAUCCAGCGGCUUAACCGUUGGUCGUCCGGGGGGUACUACAUUGCUUGGGACUGGGAGAGGUAGGAGGUACUCAGGGGGUAGGAGUGAAAUCCUGUAAUCCUCUGGGGACCACCGGUGGCGAAGGCGUCCUACCAGAACAGGUCCGACGGUGAGGGACGAAAGCUAGGGGCACGAACCGGAUUAGAUACCCGGGUAGUCCUAGCCGUAAACGAUGCUCGCUAGGUGUCACAACAGUCGUGAACUGUUGUGGUGCCGUAGGGAAGCCGUGAAGCGAGCCACUUGGAAGUACGACCGCAAGGUUGAAACU